CUAGGCAUUUGUGCUGAAAGAAAUGCCAUUUCAACAGCGAUCUCGAAUGGCCACAGAAAGUUCAAGGCUAUUGCUAUUGCUAGUGAUUCAGCUGAGUUCAUUUCUCCCUGUGGAGGUUGCCGUCAGGUGAUGAGAGAAUUUGGUGUUGACUGGGACGUUUACCUGACCAAGCCUGAUGGUUCUUAUAGAAAAAUGUCCGUGAAGGAGACACUACCAGCUUCAUUUGGACCUGAUGAUCUUGAAAAUUAGGGAGUGCAUAUAAUGGCCUUUAAUGCAAGUUUUGUAUAAUCUUCAUAGCCCUCCAGAAUUAAAUUAUUCACCAACUGCAGAAAGAUCAAAAUUCAGCACAAAAGAAUGGCCGAUACAUUAGCUUUCUUUGUAAUUGAUAAGAAGAUGGCUUAAGUUGAAGCACUGGUGCCAAAUAUGAUGAACAUUAUCAAUGCAGUGUGAAUGAAAUUUCAUUUAUUUGCCGUAUAUUUCCUAUUUACUUGGCUGGCUCAUAAAGCAGCAAUGACAACUUGUACAAAAUCAAAAAUGACAAAAUAUUUUAAUACGUUAUUAUUUGUUUUUAUAAUCAGGAAGGCCUGUAAUAUUUUAGCUGGGUUCAGUGUCUAUAGAUAAUUACAUUUAUAUUAUUACGUUGUCCGUUCAGUAUACCUGAAUCACGCGUGCUCGUUUUCUUGUAAAUGUAUAUUUAUUGCACUGAAUAAAAACAAAUCAAAAAGCG